GGUUUGGCAGCUUUGGCUCACCU
rnacentral:snRNA from 1 species